AAUACCAGUGUCUAGGUGUACUGACAGAGUGUUUCUAUGGUUGGUGGUUAAAAAGAUGAGAAGAAAGGCUUCUCUGUGACAUCACAAGGUAGGUUUAAAGGCUUCUCUGUGACUCACAGGGUGGGUUUAAAGGCUUCUCUGUGACAUCACAAGGUAGGUUUAAAGGCUUCUCUGUGACAUCACAAGGUAGGUUUAUUCAUGGUGCUGUAGAUAAUGAGCAUGAGGUUGAAGAGGUUACCUUUGCCACCUGCUGACUAUGGCUGAGGUAGUGAACAGGACGGCACAACCACCAUGGAGACAUACACUGAAGAGAAUUAUAGAGUGAAGAGAAAUAGGUCACAGUCAAAUAUAUUUGUCUCUGUGUUUUAUUGCAAGUGACACUUGGUUCUUCCGGAGAGCUGAGCUGUGCCGUAGAGCUGG
ensembl:lncRNA